rnacentral:rRNA from 1 species
AUUGAACGCUGGCGGCAUGCCUUACACAUGCAAGUCGAACGGUAACAGGUCUUCGGAUGCUGACGAGUGGCGAACGGGUGAGUAAUACAUCGGAACGUGCCUAGUAGUGGGGGAUAACUACUCGAAAGAGUGGCUAAUACCGCAUGAGAUCUACGGAUGAAAGCAGGGGAUCGCAAGACCUUGUGCUACUAGAGCGGCCGAUGGCAGAUUAGGUUGUUGGUGGGAUAAAAGCUCACCAAGCCGACGAUCUGGAGCUGGUCUGAGAGGACGAUCAGCCACACUGGGACUGAGAAACUGCCCAGACUCCUACGUGAGGCAGCAGUGGGGAAUUUUGGACAAUGGGCGCAAGCCUUAUCCAGCAAUGCCGCGUGCAGGAUGAAGGCCUUCGGGUUGUAAACUGCUUUUGUACGGAACGAAAAGCCCCGGGUUAAUACCCUGGGGUCAUGACGGUACCGUAAGAAUAAGCACCGGCUAACUACGUGCCAGCAGCCGCAGUAA